rnacentral:rRNA from 1 species
CAGCCGCCGCGGGAAUACGAAGGGUGCAAGCGUUAAUCGGAAUUACUGGGCGUAAAGCGUGCGUAAGCGGUUUGUUAAGUCUGCUGUGAAAUCCCCGGGCUCAACCUGGGAAUGGCAGUGGAUACUGGCAAGCUAGAGUGUGUCAGAGGAUGGUGGAAUUCCCGGUGUAGCAGUGAAAUGCGUAGAGAUCGGAAGGAACAUCUGUGGCGAAGGCGACUAUCUGGGCCAACACUGACACUGAGGCACGAAAGCGUGGGGAGCAAACAGGAUUAGAGACCCGCGUAGUCCCUGUCUCUUAUAC